UCUGCCUCACAUGUCAUCCAGCACCAGGUUGAAUUUGGGGUCCCUCAUGUGUGCAAUUCCUGACAGCACUGCAGAGCUCUACUCAUGCUCCUUGCACCACACUGGCAUUGCAGGCAGCAAGUAGCAGGUUGUUUGCCACGGGUGACUGAUUUUAGCCAUAUAUUUAUCUGCUUCAGCCUUGCGUGUUGAUUCCCAGCUACAUCCUGCUCUUAACAUCCCUUUUCGGAGGCACCAAAAAGAAGAUAGCACAACUCACAGAAGCAAGUAUUUAUCUGUGAGUAUCACUAUAAACACCUGUAGUCCUUUCUUUGCCUUAUUAUCUUAUCACAGAAUCAUUGAAUGAUUUGAGUUGGAAGGGACUCAUAAAGACCAUCUAGUCCAGUUCCCCUGCCAUGAACAGCUCAAUCAGGUGCCCAGAGCCCCAUCCAGCCUGACCUUGAGUGUCUCCUUAUUCCUGACCUUCCACUGGUGCUCAAAUUUGGACUUCUGCAACAUCCUUUCAGAGAGAGCCAACUUCCGUUCUGAUUUAAGAAAUCAUCCAAUUAGACUAACAGCUGCAGAGAUUGGAAUAAGCCUUGCAUGUGAGAAAAUUAAAGAAAAUGCAGCUGAGUACUAUGCAAAGCAGUGAAGCUUGGUCUGGUGCUUGACCUUGUCAUAAGCACGCAAGACAAUGUUCAGAGCUGUCCAGCUGCUUGCAACACCACUAAUCUCUAUAUGAAAUGAAAAAAACAGAUUCUCCAAUCACAUCCAUGGAGCUGAAUUUAGUGAGGAGAUAUAUAAACACCAGAAUGCACUUAUCCACUACCUUGUCUUACAUGCACGGUGUACCUUGCCAAGGGAAAGUCCAAAGGAGAAGUUGUGGAACCGCGCUUUUCAUCAGCUGUCAAGACGGUUUCUUGUAUUACCUGAAGAGAUUAACCAAAGCUCCUCAUGUUUGGAUUUGAACAGACUAGACACAUGAAGGGUUAUCUUUUUUGUGGUCACAAACUACUGGUUUGAUCUGGAAUGAUAGUUUAUAUGCCCAGCAUAUUCUGGUGUGGUGGCUUUUUGUUGUAUACACAAUUGUAACCAGUUUCAUUGAUUGCAUCAUCUAAACCUCUGUUUUUAAAAAACUUUUCUUUUAAGUAAAGGAAGAGUAGCUGCAAUCCUCUAAUCAAAUUUCUCUGAAAACAGGAGCUAAUAUGUCCACAGAUGAGCUCCUGACUCCUGUCCAUCAUAACAUUUUAAACCAGAAUGCAUUUCAGAAGCACACCAAGUUCUUUGAAAUUGUUCACUGUAAUGAUUGUUGUGUUGCAGCAAAAACUGAAUAGCUGGCUAGUAUAAACUUUAUUAUUGAAAACAUCAAAGAUGUUGCUGUAAUGAUUAUUAAUUACCACGUAGCUUUGAGAAGUAGUUCCUGCCAAUCAACUUCACAUUAUUUUUAUGAGAAUAUGACUUUAUCUGACAGAUACACAGGUGCUAAUGCAAAUUUUGUAAUGCAUGACUUGAUGCCACACACCUUAGGAUUAUCACAUGAAAGUGAAACAAAGUUAUUGUUGUGCAUACCAAAUGGAUCAAACACUUGUAAAACAGUGGUUGGUUUUUUACUCUGUUUUUGAAAGGACUCUAAUAAGAAAUCUAAGGCAUUUAGGUGAACUUCUAUGAAGAUCCUUUCAAAGAGAAAUGAUGGAAUUUAGAACUUACACCAGCUUUUGGUAAAAAAAAAAAAAAAAAAAAAUCAUUACUUAUUAAAAAAAAAGAAAUCUUUGCCAUUCAAAGAUAACAUCAAAAAGGCAUGCUUGGCUACAAGGAAGUCAGAUGCAUGUGGAAAAAGCAAUCUUUAUUUAAAAAAUAUAUAUAUAUAUAUAUAUAUUGAUUUGUCACACACACAUAUAUAGAAGUUCCAGCGUGGCCAGAUGUUGGAAUCUGUCACAGCUGCAGACAGGAAGCUUUCACAGGAAAGCAAUUACUCUGGAACAUGGAAACAUAUAGAUAGCAGUGAUCUGUGGGUGACCUUCCAGUCCUGUCUGUAUCCAAAAGGGUUAACGUGAUCCCUGCUUGUAUUAAUGUUGUUAUUGCUGGUGGCCGUAGAUAUCUAUUUCUCAUACUGAGGAGCUUUUUGGAAAACUGAAGGAUUCAGGGGAGUGUAGCAAGAAUUAAUAAAAGGCUGAACAAAGCUUUGGAAUGAAAAGCCUGAGAAGCUUAAAUGAUUAGUUCAAUGAUGAGAACAUAAACGGGUAAUUAGAUCAGUGUCUAUAUGGUAGAGAAACUUAAUAAUGGACUUUUUAGUCUAUUAGAAAGUGUUUUUUACUUAGUGAAAAACACUAAGUAAAAAAGCUGAAGGUGGACAUAUUUGUAUUGAAGUUGGAGGAUAUCACUAGAAGGAACAACUCAGUAUUUUGGUCAGAACACAUGCACAGAUGUACAUUCUCUUAAUAUCAUUGUAAAUAAUCCACCAUUCUUUAGACAACUGCAUAUUGUGAGGAAGUAGUAACUGUUCUUUAGUUUCCAAUAAUUAUUCACACUUUUCUCUUUAGUUUCCAUUUACCAGCUGACUAAGCCCAUAAUUAUCACUAAGAAUGUGAAACUAGCUCCUGGUAUGCACCAGAGAAUGUGUUAUUGGUUUGCACAUAAGUGUAAUCAAACCAUGAUUACUUGCAGCAAUCACCAUUAAUUUUUAGGCUUGAAUUAGUUCUUCUGUACCACUAAAUAAAUAAAUAAGUAGUAACCUAGAAUUUACUCAAUUUGAAUGCUACAAUUUACAGGUUAAAAAACUCACUCAUAAUUUAUUUUACUAUAAAUAUUGGCAAAAAACUAAUUACAGUAUGCAUUUGUUUCCAUUUGAAGUCCCUUUAUUUUCAUUUUCAUUGUUAUUUUAUUUUUAAUCAAUUUGAAAUCUCUAGAGAUGCUUGACCUGUCAUUUAUCUGAUUGUCUCCAUUGUAUUUUGCCUUUCUUCAGCCAGUAUCAGAAAAUACCUCAUCUAUCCGUUUUUUUGUUUUUUUUUUUGUCAGAAAACUUCUCUUAAAGCCAACAAGAUCAUUUACUUCAAAUUUCUCCUGGAUUCAGAAAACAAUGAUAACAACAUAUUAACUCCCUUCCCCCUCUUGUAUUUUUGACUCUUAUUAAAUGGGCUUCAAGCUUUUAGCUAUGGAAAUCUUCACAUCAUCUUCUCUUUUAACAGGCGUUUUCAUUUCUAACUUACUGACAAUGAUUCUGAAGCUGAUAUAUAAGCAAAUAAAAUGCUUUCUCUAAGGUCUUGGUGCUGGAGAUAUCAUUUAGUGUCAUCUUAUUUUUCUGCUAAAUUAAUAACCCUCAUCUGCUCCAUUUUUUCUGUAUGUGAACUUAUAUUUUAAUAAAAGCUAUAUGAAAA
ensembl:lncRNA